UACGGAGUGUGCAAGCGUUACUCGGAAUCACUGGGCCUAAAGCGCGCGUAGGCGGGUUUCCACGUCGGUUGUGAAAUCCCUCAGCUCAACUGAGGAACUGCAUCCGAUACUGUUUGUCUUGAGGACGGGAGGGGAGAGUGGAACUUCUGGUGAAGCGGUGAAAUGCGUAGAUAUCAGAAGGAACGCCGGUGGCGAAAGCGACUCUCUGGCCCGUAUCUGACGCUGAGGCGCGAAAGCUUGGGUAGCAAACGGG
rnacentral:rRNA from 1 species